rnacentral:SRP_RNA from 1 species
GCCGGGUGUGGUGGUGGACACCUGUAAUCCCAGCUACCUGGGAGGCUGAGGCAGGAGAAUCGCUUGAAUCUAGGAGGCAGAGGUUGCAGUGAGCCGAGAUCAAGCCACUGCACUCCAGCCUGGGCAAUAGAGUGAGACUCUGUCUCAA